GCGUUUCUCUAUAGGAAAAAAAGUUCAAUUUGGUCUUUCAAUUAUACUUUCUAUUAUAAUUUGUCAAGUGUGAUCUCGUAUUCUUUUUGUAUUUUAUUUAUUUGAGACACUUAUAUGUUUAUAAUUAAAGUUGUUUUAGUUUUAUUAUUUAUUUAUUUAUUUAUAUAUCUAUUCAGACCUACGUCAUGCAGCCAUGCUGCCCCUGACUCUUGCCCAUUAUAAAAGCACGUCAAGGCCAAAGCAUUUCCUUCAUCUUCCGAUCCAUCUCUCAUUGAUAAGUUGCUUGUUUUGCAAAUUUGAAAAAAAAAAUGGCUCUUACCGGUAAGCUCGAAGCAGAUGUGGAAAUCAAAGCUUCUGCGGACAAGUUUCAUGAUGUGUUUGGGUCUAGACCCCAUCACGUAAAACAUGCUACUCCUCACAACAUACAAGGGUGUGAAUUACAUGAUGGUGGAUUUGGAAAAGAAGGGAGUGUUGUCUUCUGGAAUUAUGUUCAUGGUAAGGUUCCACCCUUUUUUUAUCUUAAAUAUAUUAUGGAGAUUUGAACUCUUAACAUUAAGGUUUUGAAUUAUUAAGUCAAGAUAAUUUUGAAGUUCUGUGACUUUUUUUUUUUAAUUUUCCCUUAAAAUUCAAACAGAUGGAGUUUCUAAAGUUGCGAAAGAGAUUGUUGAAAAGAUAGACGAUGUGAACUUGUCUACCACCUUCACAGUCAUUGAAGGAGAUUUACUGAAGGAGUAUAAGAAUUUCAAAAUCACCGUUAAAGCUACACCGAAGGGUACUGGAAGUGUAGCGCACUGGACACUGGAGUAUGAGAAGCUGAAUAAAGAUAUUCCAGACCCACACUCUCUAGUUAAAUUUUUACUUGAUGUCUCCAAAGAUAUUGAUGCCCAUCUUACCAAAGCAUGAACUCCCAGCCUUAUCCAUCAAUAAACUGUUUGCUUGCUAUUUAUACGUGUGAUUAAGCCUACAGUGCAAU
rnacentral:lncRNA from 1 species